rnacentral:rRNA from 1 species
UCAUAUGUGAUUUCUUAGAUCGUUGCGUCCCUUCGGGGAUGUUUGGAUAACUGUGGCAAUUCUAGAGCUAAUACAUGCAAUCAAGCUCCAACCUUCGGGGACGAGCGCUCUUAUUAGACCAAGGCCAACCUGCUGGGCAACUGGCAGUUAGCUGUGGUGACUCUGGAUAAACACAGUUGAUCGCACGACUUUACGUCGGCGACGUAUCUUUCAAGCGUAUGCCCUAUCAGCUGUCGACGGUAGGGUAGCGGCCUACCGUGGCAUCAACGGGUAACGGGGGAUCAGGGUCCGAUCCCGGAGAGUAAGCCUGAGAGACGGCUUACACAUCUAAGGAAGGCAGCAGGCGCGCAAAUUACCCAAUGGGGAAACCCUGAGGUAGUGACAAGAAAUAACAAUACGCGACUCUUUCGAGGCCGCGUAAUUGGAAUGAGCACAGUCUAAAUCCUUUAGCGAGGAUCAAUUGGAGGGCAAGUCUGGUGCCAGCAGCCGCGGUAAUUCCAGCUCCAAUAGCGUAUAUUAAAGUUGCUGCAGUUAAAAAGCUCGUAGUUGACAAUCGGCGCUCGUCUCGGCGGUCCUGUUCACGCAGGCACUGCCUUGACGGCCUCUACACACUGGCUUGCGGUCGUGCAGGCUGGGAGACUGGCAGCACGUACCAGAGCCCCGGGUGCCCUUCAUUGGGUGCCCGUGGGUGGCCUUUGCGUUUACUUUGAAGAAAUUAGAGUGUUCAAAGCGGGCUCUUGAUAGCUCGGAUACUCGUACAUGGAAUAAUGGAAUAGGACCCUGGGUCAUUUCCGUUGGUCUAUGGCCAUUGGGUAAUGAUUAAAAGGGACUGCCGGGGGCAUUGGUAUGGUGGGGGG